CACACAGCGAGCCCCGCGAGCUUCGGAGGUAGCGGACUACCGGGUUGUUGUCGGGAAGCGGGUUGGGACUUGGAGAGAGAGAGAGAUGUGAUCGGUGGUGGCGAAGCGGAGGAGAGUCGGUGAUCGAUGCAAUCAGGAUUCUAUUACACCUUAAAGAGAACGGCGCCCAACUCGGCUACUCCGGAGAGGGGAGCUUGGGUGCACAAGCUAGACAGUAACAGGACGUUGAGCGGGACUAAGUUCCUUGUGUUCAAUUACUGGUUUUGCACGUACUAUAGAUACAAAUGCUGGCAGCACAUGAUGGGUAAUAUUUUAUUCACAUGUUCACCCUGUUUUUCUUUAUUCAAUAGUAUUCUAUUAUCUAUUUGAUUUAUUCUGUUCUCAACCGCUUGUUUGCAUAUGCCUUAUUAAACUCACACACACACCUGAAGUGGUCGGAAGACUUGGAAACUUUAAAGUUUCUAGACCACGUGGUUACAAUAACGGUCCCCACUUUAGACUUUUUUUUUUCCCCACACAUACUAUCAUUUGUGCUUCAGCAACAGGGUUUCAAAGCUAGAGAAUGUUGUCGGUGGCAGUUUGUACAUGGAAGGCCACAUUUUGAUGCUUCUUCAUACCCCUCGACAACAAACAACAGCAUUAAACCCUGCCCCGGAGCAUAAAAGACUCAGCUGAAAAUUACAUACGGAACACAACUUCUUGGCAGUGGAAUGUCGUGAUAAACUGUGGACCACCCCAUGCCGUGCACAUAUGGGCAGCUCCCGCUGGACUUGGAUUAUUAAUGAAGAUGGGAAGCUGCAAGAGGGGACCAUUGGGAGGCUUCUAGGGGAAGUUCAAGGCCAAAAUGAGGGGUGGGUAUGGGUUCAUUGUAUAUAUGAAUGAUUUUCUUACAGAGUAAACAUAAACUUAAAAUAAUAGGUGGAGGUAAGAGUUAUUACGAUCUCAUCACUUAAAAUUGACCUUAAAACCUUUGCCAUAUUCCCAGGAACAAAAGCAGACAAGAUUGUCACAUCCUAUAAUGUAAGUGCCUGUUUACAUUUUGACAUUUAAUCAUCAUCAUAAUCAUUUUAGAGAUUCUUAUCUUCCCAUUUGAAGUACAAAGACAUAGUUUCUGUCUGCUGAUGCACAGAGCUCAGAAAAGGGAGAGAGAAAACAUUUUAGACAAUCAACAACUCCCUUCUAAUCACAAAGUCCUGAUGUCUCUUGUAUGAUUGCAAGUUGCGUUAUUUUUUUGUUUGGUUUGAGAUAGGGCCUCAGUGUAUAGCCCAUGUUCUCUAUAGCCAGAUUCUCUCGCUUCUGUCUCCCCAAUGCUGCAAUGUCCAGUACAUGCCAUCGUGCCUAGCCUUGUGAUCACAUGGUGUUGGGAGCCGCCCCCACAUUCGCCGUUACAAGAUGGCGCUGACAUCCUGUGUUCUAAGUGGUAAACAAAUAAUCUGCGCAUGUGCCAAGGGUAUCUUAUGACUACUUGUGCUCUGCCUUCCCCGUGACGUCAACUCGGCCGAUGGGCUACAGCCAAUCAGGGAGUGACACGUCCGAGGCAAAAGAGAAUUCUCCUUAAAAAGGGACGGG
rnacentral:lncRNA from 1 species